UGCCCUCUCAGUGCUCUCUUGCUGCCCCUCCUCAGGGGCAGGAUGCGGAGGAAUAGCAUGAGAAUGCUCGUAGGACGAGAUGAAUACAGGGAGGUCACUUACCAGUGACUGUCAUGGGGAAAAUAGACCUACCUUGGAGAAAACAAAGUUAAUGUAUUGACAAUUGAAAUAGAUUUGCGAGUGAGAAACAAUGAUUAAAACAACACCCAAGCCCUAGAGCAGCACGAGAGAAUGGGGAAUGGGGACUGAUCAGUACAGAACAGCUCCUCUCUGAUGAUCCUUGCUCCAGAGUGGGUUAUUCCAUGGGCCGCAGUCCUGCAGGAUAAACCACCUCCAGCGCGGUCUCUCCAGAGGAGUAUCUGAUCGAGCACUUGCGCAUUAAAAAGCAACUCCUGCUUUAUUAGCAGAAGUUUUCUCUUUAAUUGGGUGCUAAUGAUGGUGCUUUUUCAAGGAUUUUCACAGCUAGUACCUUGGGUGUUGAAACAAAGCAACAUCUCAUUGUGACUGAACAAAAACCCUACUUCAAACUAAUUGCCCUCUAUCUUUGAAUAAGCUAUAGGAAUGCAUCACCUUCUUUAACAAUGCCCUCUGGUCAGCUGGCUUUCUGCACUAGGCAUUCUGCUCCAGACAGAUGUGGGGAAUAUUAAUCAUGACAGGGUUUUACCUCCUACUGACCUGACCUUCAUUGGGGAAGUGAAGAUCUCAGAAUCAGAAUAUCUGAAAGAGCAGAUUAAUUCAGGAUGAGUCCUCUUCAUUUUGGGCCAGAUCUCAAACCAGAAUCAGUCUGAAAACUCUGCUGAAGGUAAAAGAAUCUUGUUAUUGAAACCAGUUGAAUGUCUCCUGCCACAGUAAUCUCUGCACGCUUAGGAGAACUUUACUUUUCACUUGAUUCUAGGAUACCUAAAAUAUUAAAACCACUUAAAUAAGUAUACCCAUAUUAUAUGUAAAUGGUAUAAUUUAGAUUCUUUGGAAGUCGAACUAAAACUAUCAUGAUUGGCACCUUGAA